GACGAACGCUUGCGGCGUGCUUAACACAUGCAAGUCGAACGGAAAGGCCCUGCUUUUGUGGGGUGCUCGAGUGGCGAACGGGUGAGUAACACGUGAGUAACCUGCCCUUGACUUUGGGAUAACUUCAGGAAACUGGGGCUAAUACCGGAUAGGAGCUCCUGCUGCAUGGUGGGGGUUGGAAAGUUUCGGCGGUUGGGGAUGGACUCGCGGCUUAUCAGCUUGUUGGUGGGGUAGUGGCUUACCAAGGCUUUGACGGGUAGCCGGCCUGAGAGGGUGACCGGCCACAUUGGGACUGAGAUACGGCCCAGACUCCUACGGGAGGCAGCAGUGGGGAAUAUUGCACAAUGGGCGGAAGCCUGAUGCAGCAACGCCGCGUGCGGGAUGACGGCCUUCGGGUUGUAAACCGCUUUCGCCUGUGACGAAGCGUGAGUGACGGUAAUGGGUAAAGAAGCACCGGCUAACUACGUGCCAGCAGCCGCGGUGAUACGUAGGGUGCGAGCGUUGUCCGGAUUUAUUGGGCGUAAAGGGCUCGUAGGUGGUUGAUCGCGUCGGAAGUGUAAUCUUGGGGCUUAACCCUGAGCGUGCUUUCGAUACGGGUUGACUUGAGGAAGGUAGGGGAGAAUGGAAUUCCUGGUGGAGCGGUGGAAUGCGCAGAUAUCAGGAGGAACACCAGUGGCGAAGGCGGUUCUCUGGGCCUUUCCUGACGCUGAGGAGCGAAAGCGUGGGGAGCGAACAGGCUUAGAUACCCUGGUAGUCCACGCUGUAAACGGUGGGUACUAGGUGUGGGGUCCAUUCCACGGGUUCCGUGCCGUAGCUAACGCUUUAAGUACCCCGCCUGGGGAGUACGGCCGCAAGGCUAAAACUCAAAGGAAUUGACGGGGCCCCGCACAAGCGGCGGAGCAUGCGGAUUAAUUCGAUGCAACGCGUAGAACCUUACCUGGGUUUGACAUGGAUCGGGAGUGCUCAGAGAUGGGUGUGCCUCUUUUGGGGUCGGUUCACAGGUGGUGCAUGCCUGUCGUCAGCUCAUGUCGUGAGAUGUUGGGUUAAGUCCCGCAACGAGCGCAACCCUUGUUCACUGUUGCCAGCACGUUAUGGUGGGGACUCAGUGGAGACCGCCGGGGUCAACUCGGAGGAAGGUGGGGAUGACGUCAAGUCAUCAUGCCCCUUAUGUCCAGGGCUUCACGCAUGCUACAAUGGCUGGUACAGAGAGUGGCGAGCCUGUGAGGGUGAGCGAAUCUCGGAAAGCCGGUCUCAGUUCGGAUUGGGGUCUGCAACUCGACCUCAUGAAGUCGGAGUCGCUAGUAAUCGCAGAUCAGCAACGCUGCGGUGAAUACGUUCCCGGG
rnacentral:rRNA from 1 species